UGGGGAAUCUUGCACAAUGGAGGAAACUCUGAUGCAGCGACGCCGCGUGAACGAUGAAGCCCUUCGGGGUGUAAAGUUCUUUCGACAGGGACGAUAAUGACGGUACCUGAAGAAGAAGCUGCGGCUAACUACGUGCCAGCAGCCGCGGUAAUACGUAGGCAGCGAGCGUUGUUCGGAAUUACUGGGCGUAAAGAGUGCGUAGGUGGUUGGCUAAGUUUGGUGUGAAAUCUCCCGGCUUAACUGGGAGGGUGCGCCGAAAACUGGCUAGCUAGAGUGUGGGAGAGGAACGUGGAAUUCCUGGUGUAGCGGUGAAAUGCGUAGAUAUCAGGAGGAACACCUGAGGUGUAGACGGCGUUCUGGACCAUUACUGACACUGAGGCACGAAAGCGUGGGUAGCAAACA
rnacentral:rRNA from 1 species